rnacentral:rRNA from 1 species
UAGUCCACGCCGUAAACGAUGUUCACUCGCUGUUUGGGAUACACACUAAGCGGCCAAGCGAAAGCAUUAAGUGAACCACCUGGGGAGUACGUUGGCAACAAUGAAACUCAAAGGAAUUGACGGGGACCCGCACAAGCGGUGGAACAUGUGGUUUAAUUCGAUGAUACGCGAGGAACCUUACCUGGACUUAAAUGUAGGCUGCAUAGAGUGGAGACAUUCUUUUCUUCGGACUGCUUACAAGGUGCUGCAUGGUUGUCGUCAGCUCGUACCGUGAGGUGUCGGGUUAAGUCCCGUAACGAGCGCAACCCCUAUUGUUAGUUGCCAGCAUUAAGUUGGGGACUCUAGCAAGACUGCCGGCGUAAGCCGCGAGGAAGGUGGGGACGACGUCAAAUCAUCAUGGCCUUUAUGCCUAGGGCCACACACGUGCUACAAUGGUACAUACAGAGGGUAGCGAGACGGUGACGUUGAGCCAAUCUCAGAAAGUGUAUCUCAGUUCGGA